GAACGCUGGCGGCAUGCCUUACACAUGCAAGUCGAACGGCAGCACGGGAGCAAUCCUGGUGGCGAGUGGCGAACGGGUGAGUAAUAUAUCGGAACGUGCCCGGUCGUGGGGGAUAACGUAGCGAAAGCUACGCUAAUACCGCAUACGAUCUACGGAUGAAAGCGGGGGAUCGCAAGACCUCGCGCGAUUGGAGCGGCCGAUAUCAGAUUAGGUAGUUGGUGAGGUAAAGGCUCACCAAGCCGACGAUCUGUAGCUGGUCUGAGAGGACGACCAGCCACACUGGGACUGAGACACGGCCCAGACUCCUACGGGAGGCAGCAGUGGGAAUUUUGGACAAUGGGCGCAAGCCUGAUCCAGCAAUGCCGCGUGCAGGAUGAAGGCCUUCGGGUUGUAAACUGCUUUGUACGGAACGAAACGGUGAGCUCUAAUACAGUUUGCUAAUGACGGUACCGUAAGAAUAAGCACCGGCUAACUACGUG
rnacentral:rRNA from 1 species